GACGAACGCUGACGGCGUGCUUAACACAUGCAAGUCGAAGGGAGUGGCGAACGGGUGAGUAACACGUGAGUAACCUGCCCUUUUCUUUGGGAUAAGCCUGGGAAACUGGGUCUAAUACUGGAUGGUUUGGGAUGGGCUCGGGGCUUAUCAGCUUGUUGGUGGGGUGAUGGGUUAACAAGGCUUUGACGGGUAGCCGGCCUGAGAGGGUGGUCGGGCACACUGGGACUGGGAUACGGCCCAGAGUCGUACGGGGGGGAGAAUUGGGGGAGAGUGGACAAUGGACGAAAGUCUGAUGCAGCGACGUCGUGUGGGGGAUGAAGGCGUUCGGGUUGUAAACUCCUUUCGCCCGCGGAAUGGUAGUUGGUAAAGAAGCGCCGGCUAACUACGUGCCAGCAGCCGCGGUAAUAC
rnacentral:rRNA from 1 species